rnacentral:rRNA from 1 species
GACGAACGCUGGCGGCGUGCUUAACACAUGCAAGUCGAACGAUGAACUUGGAGCUUGCUCUGGGGGAUUAGUGGCGAACGGGUGAGUAACACGUGAGUAACCUGCCUAGACUCUGGGAUAACUUCGAGAAAUCGGAGCUAAUACCGGAUAGGACCUUGCACCGCAUGGUGUGGGGUGGAAAGUUUUUCGGUUUGGGAUGGACUCGCGGCCUAUCAGCUUGUUGGUGAGGUAAUGGCUCACCAAGGCGUCGACGGGUAGCCGGCCUGAGAGGGUGACCGGCCACACUGGGACUGAGACACGGCCCAGACUCCUACGGGAGGCAGCAGUGGGGAAUAUUGCACAAUGGGCGCAAGCCUGAUGCAGCAACGCCGCGUGCGGGAUGACGGCCUUCGGGUUGUAAACCGCUUUUAGUAGGGAAGAAGCCUUCGGGUGACGGUACCUGCAGAAAAAGGACCGGCUAACUACGUGCCAGCCGCCGCGGUAACAC